GAAUAACUCCGGGAAACCGGGGCUAAUGCCGGAUAAUAUUUAGAACCGCAUGGUUCUAAAGUGAAAGAUGGUUUUACUAUCACUUAUAGAUGGACCCGCGCCGUAUUAGCUAGUUGGUGGGGUAAUGGCUUACCAAGGCAACGAUACGUAGCCGACCUGAGAGGGUGAUCGGCCACACUGGAACUGAGACACGGUCCAGACUCCUACGGGAGGCAGCAGUAGGGAAUCUUCCGCAAUGGGCGAAAGCCUGACGGAGCAACGCCGCGUGAGUGAUGAAGGUCUUCGGAUCGUAAAACUCUGUUAUUAGGGAAGAACAAAUGUGUAAGUAACUGUGCACGUCUUGACGGUACCUAAUCAGAAAGCCACGGCUAACUACGUGCCAGCAGCCGCGGUAAUACGUAGGUGGCAAGCGUUAUCCGGAAUUAUUGGGCGUAAAGCGCGCGUAGGCGGUUUCUUAAGUCUGAUGUGAAAGCCCACGGCUCAACCGUGGAGGGUCAUUGGAAACUGGGAAACUUGAGUGCAGAAGAGGAAAGUGGAAUUCCAUGUGUAGCGGUGAAAUGCGCAGAGAUAUGGAGGAACACCAGUGGCGAAGGCGACUUUCUGGUCUGUAACUGACGCUGAUGUGCGAAAGCGUGGGGAUCAAACAGGAUUAGAUACCCUGGUAGUCCACGCCGUAAACGAUGAGUGCUAAGUGUUAGGGGGUUUCCGCCCCUUAGUGCUGCAGCUAACGCAUUAAGCACUCCGCCUGGGGAGUACGACCGCAAGGUUGAAACUCAAAGGAAUUGACGGGGACCCGCACAAGCGGUGGAGCAUGUGGUUUAAUUCGAAGCAACGCGAAGAACCUUACCAAAUCUUGACAUCCUUUGACAACUCUAGAGAUAGAGUCUUCCCCUUCGGGGGACAAAGUGACAGGUGGUGCAUGGUUGUCGUCAGCUCGUGUCGUGAGAUGUUGGGUUAAGUCCCGCAACGAGCGCAACCCUUAAGCUUAGUUGCCAGCAUUAAGUUGGGCACUCUAAGUUGACUGCCGGUGACAAACCGGAGGAAGGUGGGGAUGACGUCAAAUCAUCAUGCCCCUUAUGAUUUGGGCUACACACGUGCUACAAUGGACAAUACAAAGGGCAGCUAAACCGCGAGGUCAUGCAAAUCCCAUAAAGUUGUUCUCAGUUCGGAUUGUAGUCUGCAACUCGACUACAUGAAGCUGGAAUCGCUAGUAAUCGUAGAUCAGCAUGUUACGGUGA
rnacentral:rRNA from 1 species